rnacentral:rRNA from 1 species
UACGGGGAGGCAGCAGUGGGGAAUAUUGCACAAUGGGGGAAACCCUGAUGCAGCCAUGCCGCGUGUGUGAAGAAGGCCUUCGGGUUGUAAAGCACUUUCAGUAGGGAGGAAGGUAGUGUAGUUAACACCUGCAUUAUUUGACGUUACCUACAGAAGAAGCACCGGCUAACUCCGUGCCAGCAGCCGCGGUAAUACGGAGGGUGCGAGCGUUAAUCGGAAUUACUGGGCGUAAAGCGCAUGCAGGCGGCCUGUUAAGUCAGAUGUGAAAGCCCGGGGCUUAACCUCGGAAUUGCAUUUGAAACUGGCAGGCUAGAGUCUUGUAGAGGGGGGUAGGAAUUUCAGGUGUAGCGGUGAAAUGCGUAGAGAUCUGAAGGAAUACCAGUGGCGAAGGCGGCCCCCUGGACAAAGACUGACGCUCAGAUGCGAAAGCGUGGGGAGCAAACAGGAUUAGAUACCCUGGUAG